rnacentral:rRNA from 1 species
GCGGGCUGGACCUCUCGGGGUUACAGCCUUGCUGAAUUAUUCACCCUUGUCUUUUGCGUACUUCUUGUUUCCUUGGUGGGUUCGCCCACCACUAGGACAAACAUAAACCUUUUGUAAUUGCAAUCAGCGUCAGUAACAAAUUAAUAAUUACAACUUUCAACAACGGAUCUCUUGGUUCUGGCAUCGAUGAAGAACGCAGCGAAAUGCGAUAAGUAGUGUGAAUUGCAGAAUUCAGUGAAUCAUCGAAUCUUUGAACGCACAUUGCGCCCUUUGGUAUUCCAAAGGGCAUGCCUGUUCGAGCGUCAUUUGUACCCUCAAGCUUUGCUUGGUGUUGGGCGUCUUGUCUCUAGCUUUGCUGGAGACUCGCCUUAAAGUAAUUGGCAGCCGGCCUACUGGUUUCGGAGCGCAGCACAAGUCGCACUCUCUAUCAGCAAAGGUCUAGCAUCCAUUAAGCCUUUUUUUCAACUUUUGACCUCGGAUCAGGUAGGGAUACCCGCUGAACUUAAGCAUAUCAUAGCCGGGAGGAAA